GGGCCCGUAGCUUAGCCAGGUAGAGCGCCCGGCUCAUAACCGGGAGGUCCCGGGUUCGAAUCCCGGCGGGCCCACCA
rnacentral:tRNA from 2 species